rnacentral:snRNA from 1 species
UUGUUUUGGCAACACACACAUUAAAAUUACAGAGAUUAGCAAGGCCCUUGCACAAGGAUGGCAUGCAAACCUGUGAUACCUUCCAUUUAUUU